rnacentral:lncRNA from 1 species
UCUUUUUCUUUUUACAAAACAAACCUAAAUAUGAAAAUACUUGUCUUGUCUCCACUUGUGUACAUCCUCACAAUUAUGAAUAUGGUCACAAAAUCAUGAUUUGAUAUGAAAUUGAUAAGUACUAUAUUGGCAAUCAAUAGGAUAGCAUAGACAUAGACUUGAGCAUCCAAUCUACAUAUUCCACUAAUCUUCACACCACCUACCUCAUUAUAUUCAAUAAUGUUCUCUUUAUAUACACACACCCCUUUUCUAAUUAUGCUCCAUCAUAACAAAAUAUUUCAACCCAAAUACACAAAAUUAUUCUUCCAAAUUCAAAUAAUCUA